ACGCACGCUGGCGGCGUGCUUCACACAUGCAAGUCGCACGGAAAGGCCCUGCUUUUGUGGGGUGCUCGAGUGGCGAACGGGUGAGUAACACGUGAGUAACCUGCCCUUGACUUUGGGAUAACUUCAGGAAACUGGGGCUAAUACCGGAUAGGAGCUCCUGCUGCAUGGUGGGGGUUGGAAAGUUUCGGCGGUUGGGGAUGGACUCGCAGCUUAUCAGCUUGUUGGUGGGGUAGUGGCUUACCAAGGCUUUGACGGGUAGCCGGCCUGAGAGGGUGACCGGCCACAUUGGGACUGAGAUACGGCCCAGACUCCUACGGGAGGCAGCAGUGGGGAAUAUUGCACAAUGGGCGGAAGCCUGAUGCAGCAACGCCGCGUGCGGGAUGACGGCCUUCGGGUUGUAAACCGCUUUCGCCUGUGACGAAGCGUGAGUGACGGUAAUGGGUAAAGAAGCACCGGCUAACUACGUG
rnacentral:rRNA from 1 species